UCUGUCCCUAAGGCAUUGCAAGCAUGGCUGCUGUGCUCCAUGUGUGUCAGUAGGUGGCAGAGAGGAGAGAGCCUGUGUCUACCCUCAGUGUUCUAACCUAUGAUCAACUGAAUGAUUAAUAGACUAACACU